rnacentral:rRNA from 1 species
GAUGAACGCUAGCGGCAGGCCUAAUACAUGCAAGUCGAACGAGAUUGAGGAGCUUGCUCCUCAUGAAAGUGGCGCACGGGUGCGUAACGCGUAUGCAAUCUACCUUAAUCAGGGGGAUAGCCCGGAGAAAUCCGGAUUAAUACCGCAUAACAUUAUUGAAUGGCAUCAUUUAAUAAUCAAACAUUUAUGGGAUUAAGAUG